rnacentral:rRNA from 1 species
GCGCAGCAGGCGAGAAUCCUCCGCAAUGCGCGAAAGCGCGACGGGGCCACCCCGAGUGCCGCCCGCUGAGGGCGGCUUUUCCCCGGUGUAGACAGCCGGGGGAACAAGGGGAGGGCAAGUCUGGUGUCAGCCGCCGCGGUAAUACCAGCUCCCCGAGUGGUGGGGACGAUUAUUGGGCCUAAAGCGUCCGUAGCCGGCCCGGCAAGUCUCCCGUUAAAUCCAGCGAUCUAAUCGCUGGACUGCGGGAGAUACUGUCGGGCUAGGGGGCGGGAGAGGCCGGCGGUAUUCCCGGGGUAGGGGUGAAAUCCUAUAAUCCCGGGAGGACCACCAGUGGCGAAGGCUGCCGGCUGGAACGCGCCCGACGGUGAGGGACGAAAGCCGGGGGAGCGAACCGGAUUAGAUACCCCGGUAGU